AACGAACGCUGGCGGCAUGCCUAACACAUGCAAGUCGAACGAGACCUUCGGGUCUAGUGGCGCACAGGUGCGUAACGCGUGGGAAUCUGCCCUUGGGUUCGGAAUAACAGCGAGAAAUUGCUGCUAAUACCGGAUGAUGACGUAAGUCCAAAGAUUUAUCGCCCAAGGAUGAGCCCGCGUAGGAUUAGCUAGUUGGUGAGGUAAAGGCUCACCAAAGGCGACGAUCCUUAGCUGGUCUGAGAGGAUGAUCAGCCACACUGGGACUGAGACACGGCCCAGACUCCUACGGGAGGCAGCAGUGGGGAAUAUUGGACAAUGGGCGAAAGCCUGAUCCAGCAAUGCCGCGUGAGUGAUGAAGGCCUUAGGGUUGUAAAGC
rnacentral:rRNA from 1 species